AAACUUGAACGUGGCAAUUUUUUCUCAUAGAAUGGCAAAAGUCCAUGGCAAUUUUGAUGUGCAAAAGAACAUUAUUUAUUAAUCACAGAAAAACUGGGCUUUUUUUACUAGGGCUUUAUUUUUCGUUUUCCUUUCAUAGGAAAAAGGCCGGGCCCAGUUGGUGGGGGGAUGCUGGAGGUGUGUAGCGGCAGGGAGCGUCGCUGGCGUGCGAGAUUUGAUGCGCAUGAAGGGCUGCAGCUGGGAGCGGCGACUGCCCCUCCGACCGAGCUGUUCAAUGCCGCAGCGGGGGCCUACCUCGACGACAACGACGAACGGGCCAGUGCCAAGGGCAAGACCGACGUGCAGUACAUCAUCCUCGACAGGGUGCAGCCAUCAGCAGCAUCGUCAGGAGGGGCAUGCUGGAUGAGCUCAAGAAGACCCUGGUCAGGAGGAGCAUCCAGGUAAGAACAGAGCAACACAAAUUGUCAUGUUUCCAAGGGAAAUAGAGCAUGCUUUGUGAUAUGAACAAUGGCUGAUUCAUCGUUUUGUAAACCUAAACUUUUCCAGCAAACUUGCGAGAAAUUUAUAUUCAGAUGGCACAUGGAAAUUUAUAUUCA